CCUUUGGAACAUGUGGGACCCCAACCAGGUUCUCCCCACAUCCUGAAGACCCCAGACCCACAACCAUGUUCUCCUUGGUGACCUGUGGGACCCCAACCACGUUCUCCCCAUAGUUUGAGGACCCCAGACCCACAACCACCACCUCCUCCUUUGGAACCUGUGGGACCCCUACCAUGUUCUCCCCAUGGCCUGAAGACCCCAGACCCACAACCACAACCUCCUCCUUUGGAACAUGUGGGACCCCAACCACAUUCUCCCCAUGGUUUGAAGACCCCAACCCAACCCCUACCACAUUCUCCCCAUGGCCUGAAGACCCCAGACCCACAACCACCACCUCCUCCUUUGGAACCUGUGGGACCCCAGCCAGGUUCUCCCCAUGGUUUGAAGCCCCCAUCCCCAUCUCAACCAGGUUCUCCCCAUGGCCUGAAGACCCCAUCCCCACCACAACCUCCUCCUUUGGAACAUGUGGGACCCCAACCAUGUUCUCCCCAUGGACCGGAGACCCCAGACCCACCAUGACCUUCACAACGUCCUGUGAAGGUUGUGGGACCCC
rnacentral:lncRNA from 1 species